UACGAAGGGGACUAGCGUUGUUCGGAAUUACUGGGCGUAAAGCGCACGUAGGCGGAUUUGUUAGUCAGGGGUGAAAUCCCGGGGCUCAACCUCGGAACUGCCUUUGAUACUGCAAGUCUCGAGUCCGAUAGAGGUGGGUGGAAUUCCUAGUGUAGAGGUGAAAUUCGUAGAUAUUAGGAGGAACACCGGUGGCGAAGGCGGCCCACCGGAUCGGUACUGACGCUGAGGUGCGAAAGCGUGGGGAGCGAACAGG
rnacentral:rRNA from 1 species